rnacentral:tRNA from 1 species
GCCUGAUUGGCUCAGCGGUUGAGCACCUGCCUUCAGCCCAGGGCAUGAUCUUGGAGUCACAGGAUCGAGUCCCACAUCAGGCU